rnacentral:lncRNA from 1 species
UCAUUUUUCUGUAAACAUAAAAAUGCUCUAAAAAUCAAUCUGUCAAUUGGAAAAAGUUUUAGCCACUUAAUCUGCAUAUUUCCAGUGUUUAUAAAAUCUUAUUAAUUCACAAUCAACUUUUAUCUGAUUUUUCUAAACUACCUAUAUGUUAUAAAAAUCUAAGGUAGAGUUAAUCCAGGUUUAUUCUGAUGCUCAAUUCUUUCCUGAGCUAUAGUUAAUAAGGUCCAAGCUUGCAAACAAGAAUAAAAUCCUUUGGUCCCAACUACAUAACCCCACAAUGAAAAGAGUGCUACAUAUAAAAAAUCUAUAGUAAUUAAUUAACCUAUGGGUAACUAAACGGUGUGAUAUUGAUGAAACAACAGUCAGUAGGACAGAAUCGAUAGCCCAGAAAUAACACUUGCACAGACGGGUCAGCUGAUCCUUGACAAAAGAGCAAAGGCAAAUCAGUGGCCAAAGGAAAAUCUUUGCAACAAAUGAUACAACUGGCACCAGUUGUUUGGAAUCACAAGGGACAUUAAUAGACAAAACCAUCUUGGAAAAGAAGAACAAAUAAGGAAGACUCAUACUUCCAGAUAUCAAAAACUGACCAUGAAAUGGACAUUUAUGGGACGCCUGUUCUCCCUCUUCCCCAUGUCUCUGCCUCUCUCUCUCUGUGCCUCUCUGAGUAAAAUAAUAAAAUCUUAAAAAAAAAAAAGAAAAAAAGAAAUGGACAUUAUGACACAAGUUUGCCUUCCUGCUCACAACACUUCUCCUGGAAAAUGAAGAUUUACAGAGACUUUAUCUAUUGCAGUUAUUUACCAACACACAAUACCUCUGUCCAGAGAUCACAUUUAUUGGCAAAUUAAGUAUGGCAGUAGGCUCGUGUCCACACAAGUCAUGGUCUAACCAUCAACCAGAAGCAGCUGGCUUCAUAAACUAUGGAACAGACUACCGAAGACUCAGCUCUGGGGCCGGCAAGAUAGUCUUUGUCAAGCGGUUCUUUUGGAUUUUUCCUUAUUUUGCAAAUAUGAAUAACUUAUACAGUGAACACAUAAUCUUAUGCUUUUGCAAUGCCAAUUAACUAUGGAUAGAUUCCUGGAACAGGGAUUCUGGAUCAAUGAGUUAAGUGCAUAUUUGAUUUCACUAGGUAGUGCCAAAUUUCCCUCUACAGGGGUUUACCAUCUUGCAUUCCUCUCACAAGCAUGAAAAUCUCUGCUUCCUGUAUCUCCAAUAGGACGAUUUUUUUACAGUCUAAAAUGUGAAAAAAUAAUGUCCCAGUUUAGUUUAAUUUUCAUUUCCCUUAUUAUGAGAGAGGUUGAAUAACUUUUAACAUGUUUAAGUUCUAAAGCCAUUUUUCUUUAAUCUUACAUUCAGAUUAAUUUGGAUAUAGGAGAGUUUUCUUCUAAAUUUGUAAGUCAUCAUUUUUUUUAACCUUCUAAGACUAGCUCCCCUCAUUUCUGUUCUUGAAGUGGUUUUCUUAGCUAGUCAGAUAUUUUUCUAUAUGGUUUUUUAAUCAAUUUGUCCAGCUACAGGAAAAAAAAUACAUUUUUGUUAUGAGUUACUAAAAAUAUAUAAUAUGUUAAGGUAAAAUAUAUAUAAAUAUAUAUAAAUAAGGGUAAAAAAAUAUGUAAUUUCUAGCAUGUUUUAUAAUAUUAGUUUGCAGUUUUCAAAUGUGAAUGAUCACAUUUUUUUUCUGGUUGAUUUUUUGUGUUUUGAUUAGGCACUUCAUUCAUCAGUUUUCCUUCAACAUCUCUCUUGUGUUUGAUUGCAACCCUUUUCUGUCGUGCAUAUUUAGUGAUGUGUUUUCUUGUAUUUUGUCUUAGAGGAUUCGAUUUUAGUUUUUUUGUGGCUUUCAAGUCUAUCUACUCAGUCGGGUCGCGGAGGGCCGGGGGUGUUGUUACCAUCAAGAAUCCAAAAGUAUGGGGCAGCCUGCGUGGCUCAGUAGUUUAGCGCCAACUUCAGCCCCGACCCUGAUCCUGGAGACCCAGGAUCGAGUCACACAUCAGGCUCCUUGCAUGGAGCCUGCUUCUCCCUCGCCUAUGUCUCUGCCUCUCUCUGUGUGUGUCUCUCAUGAAUAAAUUAAAAUCCAAAGUAUGGCCUCCCCAUGAGCUAUGUCCAUGAUUUUGAGAUCUGCUUUCUCUUGGUCCAUUCUGCCAGCAACUGGAGCACUUUUCUCCCUUGUUCUCAGUCUUUUACUCUACUCCCAGCAGUCUUUUCCUCAAAAUAUGUUUCUGUUUUUAUUGCAGUGAAUUUUUCCUGGAUAUUGCUGAGGUCUUUAAAGAAUUACACUACAGACUUGCUGAUUUUCCUGCAGCCCUUAGGGAGGGCUGGGAUAAAGCUCAUGGGCUUUUUAUGUUUACCCACAUAUUAGAUGCUCCAUUUGUCAGUUACAGUGAUUAUUUUCAGAUUUGCUUUCUGAGGCUUCACUCGAUGUAGGUGCUCUCUUUGAUGACUCAAGAGUUUUGGGAGAAUUUCUGGGGACAUUCUUUAGCUAUCAGACUUCUCUGACUGUUUCAUUACAACUUCUGUAUGACUAAAUCUGAGUCACACAGAAUCCUACUUUUUUUAGGGCAUAAAGCCCCACCCACUGUGUUCUAGGUUUCAUGGAGUUUCCAUUGCACCAAUUUUACUGAAGGUGUCUGUUGUCUUUUUUCUUUUUCUCUCCUAGUUGCUCUCUCUCCAGUCUGAGGGCUUUGGGAAAUUUUAAACACUAUACUGCCAUCACCAUCUUCUUUUUCUAAGAGUCUCUCAUAAAAUCUUGAGCAAAAUGUUGUCAACCAAGUAAGAACGAAAAAUUAAAGCCGACAAUUUUAUUUGGGCAAAUAGAAUUGCAAUUCGGAAACACUGGAUUCAGGUAGAAACCUAAAUUUUGUGACUAGGAGACAAAGAAAGGGCAGGGUUAUAAAAGUGAUAGGUGAUAAGAGUGUAGUUCUCGGUCAUUAUACAAAAGAGGAAUUAAAAACUAGGUUAAUUGGGUCAGUUGAGAUGAUACUGAAUAGAUUGAAAUUUUUCAAAUUGUGUUGGCUCCUUGCAAUCGAAGCAUGGGAACAAUUCAGGUAUCAUGGUGAGGAAGGAGUUAAGUCCAGGCUGAGGGCUUGCAGUUGGCAAAUAGUUCGUGGUUCUUCUGAUAAGGCCAUGCAUAAGCUCCUCCUCCCUUAUGGUCACCUGACUCUAUUUAAAAGAGACUCUUGUAACCAAAUUUGCUUUUCCAUGUGAUAUCUCCUUUUACAUUUUCUCCCUUCGAUCUAGAUCUUUCUUGACAGAAAGCAUCAAUGAUCCAUCUUUUGGUUUCGUUCCAUUACAUUGCCAGAGUGAUUAGUACUUGCUUGGGUCUAUCAUGUCCCUCAAAGUGGGGAGUCUUAUAUCCUCAUCUAUCUUUAAGCCUAAGACUACAUUUGAGUGACAAGUAGACCUUUUAGGGAAAGAGGGUUUGAGCUACAUCAAUUGAAGUGCCAUUUUCUAUUGUCAAGUGUAGGCGGAUGAUACUCCCUCUUCUCAGCUAGAAGAUAAUCGGGACUAUCUAAUUACCAAGCACAACUUUUGCCAGAGGUCUAAGGGUCUUUGUUGGCUGCUAUUGUUUAGCGACAGAUUCCACAAUAAUUUCAAGAAAAUAGGAGAAGAUGACUAUAACCUCAAUUACAUUUAUACCUAACCAAGGAAGUAAGGAUUCCAAAGGAGCAAGUCCUGAAUCAUGAAACCUCCUGCUAGAUCUUUCUAACCUGACAGUGUAAAUUCAGGGAAGGAAGUUUACCAAUGAGUCUCUUAUUUUGCUUUUGAAAGUUAGGGGCAAAAUUAGAUUUUUUUCUACUAGCCUGAAAUAAAAGGUGUUCUAAAUUCCAGAGGUCACCACUGCUUAGGAAUGACCUGGGAGAUAAAGAUGAGGUGUUAUCUUUGCGGCCAAUGCCAGGUAAAGGAAGCAAGAAGAAAGGCUUUCAUGUUUAGUUAAAGUGUGAAGUCAUGAUGUAUCAUCUUGAGCAGAGCAGUCUACCUCAAUGUCCCCUACUUCUCUUCCUGUAUACAGAAGAUUGUAGCCGAGAGAACUCCAAGGGGUUUGCAAGGUUUUGUUAUGAUUGUUGAUUUGUCCAGUAAAGUGGGAAUGAGCCUCCAUGACUGGAGAUUAUGGAAACUGUAUCCCAGGUGAGAAACACAUUCUCUAAACCAUGGAAAGGACAUCAGCAGGGGAAAGCUUUAACCCAUCCAGAAAACAUACAAACAUAACAAGAACAUCACGAUAAUGCCCACUAAGAGGGGGUCUCUGGGUGUUCAGUCAGUUAAGCAUCUGCUUUGGCUCCGGUCAUGAUCUCAGGGUCCUGGGCUCCCUGCUCAGCAUUGGUCUGCUUCUCCUUCUCCCUCUGCCCCUACGGCCCUGCUUAGGU